GUGCCAGCAGCCGCGGUAAUACAGAGGGUGCAAGCGUUGUUCGGAAUUACUGGGCGUAAAGCGCGUGUAGGCGGCUUAUUAAGUCGGACGUGAAAUCCCUUGGCUUAACCAAGGAACUGCGUCCGAUACUGCUAGGCUUGAGUGUCGGAGGGGGUGGCGGAAUUCCCGGUGUAGAGGUGAAAUUCGUAGAUAUCGGGAGGAACACCUGUGGCGAAGGCGGCCACCUGGAAGACAACUGACGCUGAGACGCGAAAGCGUGGGGAGCAAACAGGAUUAGAAACCCCGGUAGUCC
rnacentral:rRNA from 1 species